rnacentral:rRNA from 1 species
GACGAACCGUGCGAACGUUGUUCGGAUUCACUGGGCUUAAAGGGCGCGUAGGCGGGCGGUCAAGUCGGGGGUGAAAUCUUUCAGCUUAACUGGAAAAGUGCCUCCGAUACUGAUCGCCUCGAGCGAGGUAGGGGGCCAUGGAAUUCCCGGUGUAGUGGUGGAAUGCGUAGAGAUCGGGAGGAACACCCGUGGCGAAGGCGAUGGCCUGGGCCUCGAGCUGACGCUGAGGCGCGAAAGCGUGGGGAGCGAUCCGG